UACGUAGGGGGCUAGCGUUGUCCGGAAUCAUUGGGCGUAAAGCGCGUGUAGGCGGUUCGGUAAGUCCGCUGUGAAAGUCGGGGGCUCAACCCUCGAAUGCCGGUGGAUACUGUCGGACUAGAGUACGGAAGAGGCGAGUGGAAUUCCUGGUGUAGCGGUGAAAUGCGCAGAUAUCAGGAGGAACACCAAUUGCGAAGGCAGCUCGCUGGGACGUUACUGACGCUGAGACGCGAAAGCGUGGGGAGCAAACAGU
rnacentral:rRNA from 1 species